rnacentral:rRNA from 1 species
UACGUAGGGUGCAAGCGUUGUCCGGAAUUACUGGGCGUAAAGAGCUCGUAGGCGGCCUGUCGCGUCGACCGUGAAAACCCGCAGCUCAACUGCGGGCUUGCGGUCGAUACGGGCAGGCUGGAGUUCGGUAGGGGAGACUGGAAUUCCUGGUGUAGCGGUGAAAUGCGCAGAUAUCAGGAGGAACACCGGUGGCGAAGGCGGGUCUCUGGGCCGAUACUGACGCUGAGGAGCGAAAGCGUGGGGAGCGAACAGG